GGUUCGAUCAUGGCUCAGAUUGAACGCUGGCGGGAUGCUUCUACAUGCAAGUCGAACGGCAGCACGGACUUCGGUCUGGUGAAAAGAGAGUGGCGAACGGGUGAGUAAUGUAUCGGAACGUGCCUAGUAGCAGGGGAUAACCUGCGGCGUAGCUAAUACUGCAUACGCCCUUCGGGGAAAGCAGGGGACCUUCGGGCCUCGCACUAUUCGAAACAGCCGAUAGGAUUAGCCUAGUUGGUGGGGUAACGGCUCACCAAGGCGACGAUCCGUAGCUGGUUUGAGGAGGACGACCAGCCACACUGGGACUGAGACACGGCCCAGACUCCUACGGGAGGCAGCAGUGGGGAAUUUUUGGACAAUAGAGGAAACCCUGAUCAAAGCAUCCCGCGUGUGCGAUGAAGGCCUUCGGGUUGUAAAGCACUUUUGGCAGGAAAAACGGCACGGGAUAAUACCCCGUGCAACUGACAAUGCCACAGAAUAAGCACCGGCUAACUACGUGCCAGCAGCCGCGGUAAUACGUAGGGUGCAAGCGUUAAUCAGGAAUUACUGGGCGUAAAGCGUGCGCAGGCGGUUCGGAAGAAAGAUGCUUGAAAUCCCAGAGCUUAACUUUGGAACUGCAUUUUAACUACCGAGCUAGAGUGUGUCAGAGGAGGUGGAAUUCCCGCGUGUAGCAGUGAAAUGCACGUAGAUAUGCGGAGAAGACACCGAUAGCGGCAGCCUCCUGGGAUAACACUGACGCUCAUGCACGAAAAGCAUUAGGAACAAACAGGAUUAGAUACCCUGGUAGUCCACGCCCUAAACGAUGUCAACUAGCUGUUGGGGCCUUCGGGCCUUGGUAUACAGCUAACGCGUGAAGUUGACCUUACAAGGUACGGUCGCAAGAUUAAAACUCAAGAUUGACGGGGACCCGCACAAGCGGUGGAUGAUGUGGAUUAAUUCGAUGCAACGCGAAGCCUUACCUACCCUUGACAUGUCUGGAAUCCCGAAAGAGAUUUGGGAGUGCUCACCAAAGAGAACCGGAACACAGGUGCUGCAUAGGCUGUGUGGCUCGUGUCGUGAGAUGUUGGGGUUAAGUCCCGCAACGGGCGCAACCUGUGUCAUUAGUUGCUACGAAAGGGCGCUCUGGCCAGGCUACCGGUGACAAACCGGAGGGAAGGUGGGGAUGACGUCAAGUCCUCAUGGCCCUUAUGGGUAGAGGCUUCACACGUCAUACAAUGGUCGGGACAGAGGGUCGCCAACCCGCGAGGGGGAGCCAAUCCCAGAAACCCGAUCGUAGUCCGGAUCGCAGUCUGGCAUCGACUGCGUGAAGUCGGAAUCGCUAGUAAUCGCGGAUCAGCAUGUCACGGUGAAUACGUUCCCGGGUCUUGUACACACCGCCCGUCACACCAUGGGAGUGGUUUUACCAGAAGUAGUUAGCCUAACCGUAAGGAGGGCGAUUACACGGUAGGGGAUUCAUGACUGGGGUGAAGUCGCUAAGGUAA
rnacentral:rRNA from 1 species